rnacentral:lncRNA from 1 species
CAAAUCUUUUCAACAUCAUUGACCUAAUGAUCAAAGUGUUUCAAAAUUUGUAAUUUUAAGAGUCGAUAUGAGGCGUUUUCUUGUUUAACGGUGUAAAGUAAUAAUAUCAAUUGAAUUUUUGUUAGAAAAUUCUUCAAACUAUUUAGAACAAGAUCUAUACUCUCGAUCUUGAUUACAAAAUUCCUAUCAUCACUUUUUAGAGGAUAUUCAUUUUUAGUCAUUCAUUUUUACGCCCACUUGAUGAACAAGAGAACAAUAUCGAAAAAGUAUGAAAUUUGAUUUCUAGAUACUUCAAGUGGUAUAGAUCAUUUUCAACGGUACCGAUCGUCGAUUUGGAGGCUCCAUCAUCGAAAACAAAUGGGUGGCAACAUAGCCCGUUUUCUACUGAUAGUAUUCUAGCUCAACUCUCUCUCUAUCUCUCUCUCUCUCUAUAUAUAGAGGCUACUAUACUAUCAAUAGUACCGGAGCUCUGGUAGUAUAGUCUUGUUUUCGAUCUUAGAGUGUUCAAAUUAACGAUCCACACCGUUAAAUAUGAUCUAGGGUAUAUGAAGUUCUUAGGAAUAAAAUUUUAGUUUUUUUCGACAUCGUUUACGUAGGAAAUAAAUUAUGUCAAAAUGGACGGUGAAAAAUUGAAUAAUCUUUAAAAUUUGAGCAUAGAACUUUUAAAUUCAAGAUCAAGAAUAU